AGUCAUGACCAAAUUUUGGUUCGGCCAAAAACUGUUUGGCCCGUUGUGUUCGCACUACUGAGAAACCAAAAUCUACCGCAAACCGCUUAUGUCAAUCAAAAUUCAAUACUAUCUGCCGAAAGAGAGCGGAUUACUUCUGAGCUCGGUACAAAUCUUGGUAAAAAUUUGGUAAACUCAAGACAAACAGCUACUCAAUAACCUUUAUGCCUCGAUUUUACCGCUUUCACUGCAUUCGUUCUGUUACAUAUCAUGAAAACUGACAGUUUUGAAAUUUGACAAAAUUUUGACCAAGAUCCUUCGAAGCAGGCCGACGGCGUCUUUGAAGUUUGGAAAGACAAGACAAAAUUUGGGAUCAAAUCAGUUCUUAGCGUCCGUAUAUCAAGUUCUGGAUGCACAUGCACGGAAAACUGUUAAGCAGGAAGGACGCUAUCUGAAGAUACGCACGAGGCGUACCCUUUAAGAGAUGAAGAAAUAACUAUUGAGUACACUAUCCACUGCAUGCGCUCCACCCAUUUUUUAUUAUGGUACGUAGUCAGCCAGUCAGAGCCAGUCAGUCAGUCAGCCUUUAAACUAAAAGACGUUUUUUCUCAUUUAUAUCUUGUAAUGUUUAUAUUGUCAUUUUUUGGUGCUAGAUAAAACAUUGUCUCGUUA